AGGAGGAGUUGGGCCCGUGGUCGACGCUUGUUUGGUGUUUUGUAAUACACCGAGCCCAGGAAGACAAAUUGAGAGGUUGACUUUGGAAAUAGUAAACCUGCCAGAGCAGUGACAAGGAGCUUGCUUGCGCUGUUGUGACCACUUGGGCCAAAAAGGGACUUCAACAAUAGCGGAUGGAAGAGGAGAAAGCCCAACGAAUAUGCAACUUCUUCAAAGUGAUCUGCAGGCAGGCAGGCAGAGCCAAAGCGGCGGCGGCGGCGGCGGCGGCUUCGGCCUCUCGCACGCAGGAGUCGGCUUACAGUGACGAGAUGACUGACAUAGGGUGAUGGCCAUUCGUCUGGGUGUCGCUGCAUUCCACUUUCAUGUUUUAUUUCAAGAGCAUGAAUAACAGCUCUCAUCACACUGCCAGAGUAUUCUUGCAGCGCUUUCAAAGCUUGAGCUAUUUGCUCAAUGCCAUCAAAAAGUCAAAGUCAGCAGGGCCACCUAGGGCAGCUGCUGCUGCUGCUGCUGCUAGUUUUUACAAGUUGAGCAAUUCAAUCAACAGGAGUAAGCUCUGUCCAAAGCAUCUGGUGAGAUGAUCAAAAGUCCCCCAAACAAUGCACACAUCUGGGAAAAUGUGUAAAGGAUCCGCGAGACCAACGGCAGAUACCAAAUGCCAUGUCUGGUUGAUGUUUUGGCCGCAAAUCGCCUGCGUGCCUCUCCUCAGGUCAGGACGGACAGAAGAUGAAUGCUCAUAGGCACAGUGGGCAUUCUCCAAAAGACUCGGAGUAACGUAAAUUGUCAUGACGUUUGGAGGGGGAGGAAAAUGCAAACUCCAGAAUCAAAGUACGUAUGAGCAGGGCAAUAGUAUUUCAAAUCGUUUGAAAUGUACAUUGCAAGGCAGACGUGGACCAGAGAUGGACCAGAGGUGGACCAGAGAUGGACCAGAGAUGGACUAGAUAUGGACCAGAUAUGGACCAGAUUCCACAAGAUUCGCUCACUGCGAUGUUGGUUCGACCUGAGAUAGAUAGGAUUUGAAAAUUCCAUUGCAGCUAGCCAGGCAGCCAGGCAGCCAGGC